UACGGAGGAUGCAAGCGUUAUCCGGAAUGAUUGGGCGUAAAGCGUCCGCAGGUGGCUGUGUAAGUCUGCUGUUAAAGAGUCUAGCUCAACUAGAUAAAAGCAGUGGAAACUACACGGCUAGAGUACGUUCGGGGCAGAGGGAAUUCCUGGUGUAGCGGUGAAAUGCGUAGAGAUCAGGAAGAACACCGGUGGCGAAGGCGCUCUGCUAGGCCGUAACUGACACUGAGGGACGAAAGCUAGGGGAGCGAAUGGG
rnacentral:rRNA from 1 species